GAAGGUAGUAUUGUGUGUGCAGCAGGCAUUUCUCCACCAAAAAAUAACUUCAUCCAGCUUCUGACAAACACUGCCACAAUGCCUGCCCAGAUCAACAUGUGGAAGGUUCUACUAGCUGCACCAGAUCAGAUGUUGACCUUAUAAAGAUAAAUACAUCAAUAGAUUUACACCACCAAGCAAAUUACACAUCAAACUAGUUGCUGACUUAUCCACACGAGAAUUUGCACAACCUUGAAUAUGGUGUGUGUUUGAUGUGCAGUUUGUAUAUGUUAAAAUUUUCUGAAAUGAUAAGUGUAUCACAAUUAUUCUAAAUAUAGUUAAUCUUGUAGGUAUCAUUCCUGCUCUGGAGAAUAGAUCAUCUGACAUAAGAGCUUCAUCCUUGAAACAUGGUAAAUGGUCUAUGC